CCUACGGGUGGCAGCAGUCGAGAAUCAUUCACAAUGGGGGAAACCCUGAUGGUGCGACGCCGCGUGGGGGAAUGAAGGUCUUCGGAUUGUAAACCCCUGUCAUGGGGGAGCAAAUGAAAGAGAUAGUACGACGAGAGGAAGAGACGGCUAACUCUGUGGCAGCAGCCGCGGUCAUACAGAGGGCUCAAGCGUUGUUCGGAAUCAAUGGGCGGAAAGCGUGCGUCGGCUGGGUCGUAAGGCGUGUGUGCAAGGCGCGGGCUCAACCCCCGGCCGGCACAUGAUACUGCGAGACUAGAGUGAGGGAGGGGGAUCCGGAAUGCUCGGUGUAGCAGUGAAAUGCGUAGAUAUCGCGAAGAACACUGGUGGCGAAGGCAGGUUCCUGGACAAUAACUGACGCUGAGGAGCGAAAGCGUGGGUAGCGAACAGGAUUAGAUACCCGAGUAGUC
rnacentral:rRNA from 1 species